rnacentral:rRNA from 1 species
UACGUAGGGGGCGAGCGUUGUCCGGAUUUACUGGGCGUAAAGCGCGCGUAGGCGGAGCGUUAAGCGUGGCUUGAAAGCCCCCGGCUCAACCGGGGAAGGUGGCUGCGAACUGGCGCUCUUGAGGGCGAUAGAGGGGGGCGGAAUUCCUGGUGUAGCGGUGAAAUGCGUAGAUAUCAGGAGGAACACCUGUGGUGUAGACAGCUUACUGGACCACGACUGACGCUGAGACACGAAAGCGUGGGUAGCAAACAGG